GUUCGCCGAAAGCUCUCAGGUCCGACAGAGUAAAGAAAUGAAAAAGAAAAUGACUAAACGGAAUUUUGGUGGACCAUCCCCAGCCGUGGGCCCCUAGAAUCAUCAACACCUUUCACCUCACCGCUAGUGAUGGAGCAAAGAUGCAGGACAGUCUCAACGUCAUAUUAUGGCCGCAGAAGCAAACAGCACAGAAAGACGUCGACAUGUUUAGCUAAGAGACAGAUCUACACUUUCAGAAGCUGAGGGCCUUGCACUGUGGGAUGGAUUUCAUGCUCCGGGUUGGCACAAAACCAGGACUGAGAGUGGGCCUGGAAUCCUGCAGGAAUGAAAGCAGUCAGCGUGUCGGCGGGUAAUGACAGAGGAAGUGACGUCUGACAACUAUGGCCUGCCACCGCGGUUGGUUCUAUAAGAGCAGAAGGAGGUGGUCACGUCUCAACGCUAAUGGAGGAGGAGAAAAUGGCCGUGUCAGUCCUGUCAACGUAUUAUGUUUUAAGCCUAGACAGUUGUUGUCGCUCUUGCAGGCCCAUAAUUUUAUGCCAUUAAAAGUGCCAAGGAGGAAAGAGUGAGGGAAGAAGGAAGGGAGGUGGAGGGUGGGCUCUGAAGUGAAAGCAGUUGUAGGGGGUUUUCUACCUCUUGUUCCCUUCAUGCCUGAUUCCCUGCUACUUUUGUGCUGGAAACUUUUGGCAUUUCUUGAAAGCAUAAAGACUAGUUGGGGCUUUAAAGUGAUCAUAAAGUCAAUCAUGUUGGCUUGAAUUACCCAGCAAUCUCUGUCAGUUAGUCCGCUCUUAGCCACUACGGCAUGAGAUGUGUGUGGGAGUGGGGUGUAGACAUGUGCCUGUGUGUGUGUGUGCAUACGUGUGUGAUCCUUUGUGUGCAUUAAUGUACAUACUGUAAAUGUGUAUGAGACGGGAGAGGUAGAAGUCAGGCUGAAAUGAGCGGUGGUAGUUGGAGAGGACUAAUUUUCAUGCUUGAUUGCAAGUAAAGUCCUAAAACACUGAUAAAAGUAAAAAACUAAGUAAAAGAAUAGAAUUUUAAUUUUUAGAGAAUCCUAGAUGUUUAGAAUACUUUUAAAAGCAGAGAAUUAAAACAAACCAUGGGGCCAAAUUAUAAUGCCCUGCAGGUCCAAGCAACUCUGACACUUCUUUAUGAAUUGCCACUAAUCGAAAAAUGUUGGCGGGAAUUACUGUCACUUGUUCUGAUUUGUAUGCAUGACAACCUUUUUCAUCUCAAAGAAUUCUAGACCCCACAAGGUCUUUACAUUAUGGGCAAACAUUUGCAAUUAUGAUGAACUCUGCCAGCUUAUCUCAAAAGGAACAGGUUCGUACUGAUGGACAAGUAGACGUUUUAAUGAAAUAAACUGCUUUGAGCUGAUGAAAUAAAGAUUGCUCCACCUCAGGGCACACUCAAAUUAAAUUAUCAAGAUGACUGCAUGCAUGCCGCUCCCAUUAACUCAGGUAUGGUAACAGCCUAAUCACACUGCACUUGUUCUUUAUAAUGUUUGUGAAGCAACUACUUUGGAUGACAGUGGAUGAUGCAUGCAAGGAGUUUUUCAUCUUCUGUCCUACUUAUCAGCUCUCUCCUGUGAUGGCUAAAAGCCUCCCAGAUUUUCUUUUAUUCCAUUCAGAGGGAUGAACUAAUGUUAAAACCAUGUGUUGUCCCAGGAGGCUGAGCGAGUGGACACUGUGAUCCAUGUAGUUUUAUGCGUGCAGAUAAACAUGAGCCCGACGGCUUGUCAGAAGCCUGUGGAAGGAGCCCAGAGUCCUCUGCCUUAAAACAAUGUUGGUGUUGGGGCGAGAGGGACUGUGAGUGGCAAUGGGAAACACCUGUGCUGGGGUGAGCAGCCGGACAGUUUGUUUGGUUGGAAGGGGGGUGGGGGUUUACCACUGUUAGAAAAGGAAGAUAAGGCAAGCGGGAGGUAUAAAGCCAGUUGGAAAGGCCACUACAUCGUAGCCAUUUGCUGCUGAGGAGUGGAGGUCUGAGGAAAUUAGUUACAGUAAUGUCUUGACUGUUGCCCCUUAAAUUUUAACACACAUGUGCUGGGAGUAAAGAGCCCAAGGCUGAGGGUUGGGAGGGCCUGUAUGUGUUCAUGCAUAUACAGACACAUUAGCUGAGACCAUCAGAAUUAUAGCUUUUGUUAAGGUAGAGAAAACACAGCGCAACGUUGAAUUUAGAAAUAUGACUUCAAUAUUUAGCUAUGUCUCCCAAUGGUAUUUUUGUACCGAUGCUUUCUAUUCUCCAAAAUUCUCUAAUGUCAGAAAUUUAAACAAAGGCAUUCUGUUUCAAUAUCAUAAUAUUUGAGUAAAGAUUUGGCUCUGCCGUGAAUGCAGAGCCUAUUUUUGGAUUUAGUCUCUCUCUGUGAGUAACAGCAGGUUUCAGGAAUAAGCACAGCCACAUAGUAAAAGCCCGUGGCAGCGUUUCAGACAAUCUCUGCAAUAACGGAUUUUUUUUUCUCUUUUUCAUAUGUAUUCUGACUUUUUGUUGGCUUGCAUGUCUUCAAGAUGUAUCGAUUAUCAAAAAAACCUUUUAGCAAUCCCAGCAGCUUAUAAAACUUAUUUUCCUUAUGGUAAAAGGCUUGUUACUUUAACAACUUUCAUUAAAAAGUUAAUAUUCAUGUUAAAAUGUGUUGAAAACGCCUCUACUCCAUACAUGUAUCAAUACAGAAUGAUUAAUUCAUUUAUUUCUGUAAAGCAGCAAAAAAAGGUUUAAACCAUAUAAAGUUAAGGCAUGUCGGUUUUAUUGGUUUUUAAAUAAUACCUGGCUGUGAAAACGUGUGCACGCAGUAUAAACAUGGGAAUCCCAAAUGAAACAAAGAACGCACAACACAGCACACGUUUUUACAGCCAAACAUCACACUGUGCUGGAUAUCCAUCAGCCUCUCCUCAGUGGCCCAACGCUCCCCCCCCUCAAGUCAGGUUGAUCAUUCCAUCUCCUGCCUCUCUAUCCUGAGGUGCCUGCUGUCAAUUUAUCAGACUCUUCCUUUUAAUUUCAUACUUUCCACAGUGUAAGCAUCCAUCUCCGCUGUAACACAACACCGUUAGAGGGUUCAGAAGAAAGCAGUGUGAAACAGGCUGGUGUGUAGCCCACAACUGACAGGAGAAGCGGGUUGUGAUGGAGUAAUGAUAUCAUGAAGGGGGAAAAAAAGUAUACUGUACACACAGUUUGCAGUUCUGGCUGUACAUUUUCCAUGUUUUGGUUUACAUCAAAUGGUUUCAGUAUUUGUAGUUAAUAAAAAAAUAAAAAUACCCUUUUGAGACAAAUUUACAUAGCAAUUAGAAUUGCUUCCAUAAUAUAAAUAUGAAGCGUAAUACACUGAUAAUAUGUCCUGCUGCUUAUAAAACCAUGAAACCACAGGCAAGCAUAAGAUACAGUCAUUUAAUGGAUAUUACUGUAUCUGUAUUCUGAACUGACAUUUACAGUAUCAGUGGGUGAAUCUGGCAGUCAUACAGUAUUAUAAUCUUAAGUAUUCAUAUUGAUAAAUGAUAAAUCAGAUGUAUUUUAGGAAUCGAGCGAGCAAUCAGUAGAUUAUAUUCAUUGGCAUCAGUGCUCUUCCCUUGAUACGUCUGGAAUUUGAAAAUAAAGUAAAUCUGUAUGAGAUUUGACACAUAAAAUAUCAUUAAAUUUAAUCUUAAUUUAGGAUCCCUCAAACCUUCUUUCUAUUGUCCUUUCCUGGUCUUUCUCUCUCUCUCGCCGUCUCUCUGUGUGCGUCUAACAAAAUUAAUUACUGUAUGUUUUAUUUCAUGGAGGUGUCAGGAUGAAAUGAUGAAUGGCUUGUAAUAUCAAAAGAUUAAAGACACAAUGCAAUGAAGGACGCACAUGCUUACACUGUGGUAGCGCUUACAUGCAGACACAUGUCCUCACACACACUCACACACACACACACAUGUACACAGACAGUCUCUGGGGCCAUUGAUAUCUAGUUUCAUAUUUGAUAUUAACUUACUGAGGGGGGGUGAGUAUGGCCACAAUGUCAUUACCAGUGGUAGAGGGGAAUAAUAGAAGUGAACUUUUCAAAAAGGUCUUUAUAAUUGCAGCCUGGGCCUUUCUUGAUAAAAUUCCAUAUUGAUAUGUACACUGGUCCCCUCAUUAUGGCCACAGAUGAAAAAGAGCAUUUCAGCGUUCUUUAAUGAGCGCUGUACCAGUGAAGGUCAUCUUAAUGGGGUUCAACUUGCUGUUGGGAGCCAGAGGUAAUAUUCUAAUGAGAAAGAGCCACUACACCACUCUAGUUAAUUCUGUAAUUGCACCCGUGGAUGCCAUUUUAUUGUUGCCUGUGCAGAGGUAUUGAAGUGCUUUGUUGUCGUUUGCAACAUUGCCUGUCCUCCCUGGUCUGGUUUGGUGGUCCAGUCAAAGCUUGGAUACAUGCAAUGUGUGUGUGUACACAGACACACUCUCAUUACCAUAUUUUAAAUCCACUUCGCACACCAUACCAUCUUUUAUUGGAAGCUACAGUUUAUUCAUUGCUUACUUAUGGGUGGAGGGACAUCUGAACCACCUAGCAAAAAGAAUGAAUAUUAACCUCAGCGCAGAGCAGUGCGGAGCGAGGACAGCAGGAAUGUUCAUGUGCAUUUGAGCAUGUGUUGGCUGUGUUUGUCUGUGCAUGGGCUGAUUUUAAAUUUGCCUGAGUGCAUGUGUGUGUCCAAACAGAAAAAAACCCCUUUAUGCCUGAGGCUGCUUCUCCUCUGAAUCUUAGUCUAUUCUUUGGAAUAACACAAACUUUUGCAUAUUUCAGUUACAAAGUGUAUUUCUGCAUGGAGUUUCCUCUAUAUUGUCAUUGCUAUUUAACAUUUUCAGAUUGUUAGCAGAUUCCUAUUUAUUAUAUUAAAAGAGUAGAGAGAGUGUCAGUGAGUGUUGUCAGACUCCAGAUGUACCAAAACAAAAAACAUUCUAAGUCAGUGAAAUAGAACAAGAGAACCAGAACUUUCUAACUCUACACCAUAGAUUUAUUUUUCACUUUCAAACUUGUAAUAUUCAGCCCCAGCCAACACUGACCCAAGUAACAUCACUUCCUGCAAUUUAUCCCAUUGUCAGGAAGAAGGGUUUAUACCAUCGUUUUCACAUAUUCAGGACUCCCCAAGAUGUGUAAAAUUGGUGGAGUACCCCUUUAAGCAUAUAUAGUUAAAUCGCAGAUUAUAUGAGGAGUACAAAGUAGAAGUAGGAAUUUAAUUGCCUGUUUUCCUUGAGUCCAUUCUCUGAAUAACUGUCCCCGUGAAGCAUGUUGACAAGAUGAAUGGACGGACAGAAGGCACGUGGCGCCCAUCUGCGGCUGCUCGGUGGCCUUUCCUCUGUAGCAACCCUCACAUCGGCUCUACACUCAGAUGAGAAACAGAGCAGUGUGUACUGUAGCUCUGGUACCACCCAUGUUUGGACUUACAGUAGCAUUUGGUCCAGUGCGUUAAUGUCUUGAGACAGUCAUAAUUUCGGAAAUACCAUCUGAUGUUAAUGUCUAUAAUCUGUAAUAGGUGCAUUUUUCUGGUUAGUAUUGUAAGAGGGCAACUUCAGAUUAUACAUGUCAGUAGUACAAGAGUGACUACUUCAAGAGUCAUUUGAUAGAAAAAUUGGGUCUCUAAAGAAAAAAAGGGUGAAUAACAUAAACUAAAACAGGCUUUGAGAUUUCCCCCAUUCCUCUUAUUAUUCCCUCUUUACAGGUCAAGUCAUUUUACACGAAUACUUCCACCAUGACUUGUAUGCACAUGGGAGAUGCAUGAGGUUAAAGGUCAUACAGCUUACCCCCCUUUCUGAGGCAAAAAUAACUUUCAGAGUCACGAAUCAUCAACAUUUGACUUCCCAUCCAAAACUAUUUCAGUCCAAGACAAUGAUGAAAAAGAUGUAACUAAAAUUUGUAGAGUGAAAGCUUCGGGGCAUACACUCUUUGGGGAAUUAAAAAAUGAGCAAUUUGUCAAAUUUCAUUCAACGUGCUCAAGUGUAGAUGAAUUUCAAUAUGUCUCCUUGGACUGACUGAAAUAGCAGAGUGUAGAAGAGAGCACAUACUCCAUAUGAUUCAGGUGGUUGUGUAAAAGUCUGAGAGUUUUAAAGGUGAUAAAAAAAGGCAAAGCAGUGAAUAUCAUCUUGUAGAUAAGACAGCCACCCUGUUUUCCACAGGCUACAUCCGUUUUAUCGCAUCUGGCAGCAAAUUAAGGCACGUGUGGCAGGGGGGAAGGACGAUUGAAAAUGAAACCUGAGGCUAAGACUGCAUUCAGCCUGACUGCUUUCUUCCCUCAACGCUGACAUUAGGCUUUGAUUCUCACAUGAGAUCCUCUGAUGAUGAUGAUGAUGAACCAUAAAAAAUGAUAUAGCUCAAUAAAAGUACAAAAAGGCGCGAAUUCAUAAAGAGGACCUGAGGGCCAUGUUAGGUUUGGUCCGUGCCAAUGCAUUUUUUCUCCCUCUGUGGGCUUUUAGAGAUGAUUACCUUGGAUAUUUAUGGCUGAAACAUUUUCUGAUUUGAGGGAGUAAGUGUGGCUGGAUGUUUGUGUCUGCUGGCUCUUACAAUGCUGCACACAUCCAGUAGAGUGGGUUUUCUCUUGCCAUUACCCAAGAUAUAUGACCUGUUAUCCAUGAAAAACCGGUAUAAUGUAGUAUUGUUGUCAUCACUGUCAUCAUAAAUAGCCCUGGAAAAAACCUACUGUAAUAAAUGAGCGGUGACAGAAUUGGGAAACCGACUGAUAUUGACACACCGAUUGAAAGGACAAAUGAGAUGGUUGCCGGAGUUUUCUCGGUCACCUUGAAAGUCCAAAAGUUACAAAUGGCUUACAUGCCUUCAUAUAUCAUAAUGAGACCAUGCAUGCCGAUACAAUGUAUUGACACAACAGUUUUGUGUCAAUACAUUGUGGAAAAUCAACUGCUAUCUGCAGCCAAGAAACAGCUGGAACAUAUCGGACCUCUCCUCUCCUCUCCUCAUUGAUUCUUUUAUCCUCUGCUCUCUAUUG